CCUACGGGGAGCAGCAGUGGGGAAUAUUGCACAAUGGGGGAAACCCUGAUGCAGCGACGCCGCGUGAGUGAAGAAGUAAUUCGUUAUGUAAAGCUCUAUCAGCAGGGAAGAAAAUGACGGUACCUGAGUAAGAAGCCCCGGCUAACUACGUGCCAGCAGCCGCGGUAAUACGUAGGGGGCAAGCGUUAUCCGGAUUUACUGGGUGUAAAGGGAGCGUAGACGGUAGUGCAAGUCUGGAGUGAAAGGGGGGGGCUCAACCCCCGGACUGCAGUGGAAACUGUACGGCUGGAGUGCAGGAGAGGUAAGUGGAAUUCCUAGUGUAGCGGUGAAAUGCGUAGAUAUUAGGAGGAACACCAGUGGCGAAGGCGGCUUACUGGACUGUAACUGACGUUGAGGCUCGAAAGCGUGGGGAGCAAACAGGAUUAGAUACCCGGGUAGUC
rnacentral:rRNA from 1 species